GCUAUUAAUAUUACUGUUGGUGAUGAAUAUGCAAAUGUGGACAGACUAGACAUAGUGACAGGAAAAACGAAUAGUUUGUCAAAAUCGGAAAUCAUACAAGCCUUAAAAACUGAAGAAAAGAUAAUUUUGAGUUUCACAUUGGGAAAUACUGUAUUCAAAGUGGAUUGGACAUUGCGAAAACACAUCUUCACCAUUGACAUUUCUGGCUCCGAUUAUCGUGGCAAGCUGUGUGGCUUAUUGGGUAAUUACAAUGGUGAUACCCACGAUGACUUCCAGAAGCCUGAUGGUACUAUUGCUGAUAACGUCAGUGACUUUGGUGAGAGUUGGAAAGUGCUUGGGACAUCAUGUUAAUGUGGGUGUCCUUUCACUGUUACUCUCAAGCCGCAGAGGAUGUUGGUUAAGUAAAUGGUGGUGUUUAACUUUAUGAUUAGUAAUACUUAUGACAUUGUCAGUUUAAAAUCCAUAUUUAAAAGUAGAUGACUUCAAGACUUGGGUUAUUGGUUAUAAUGAGUUAUAUGUAUUAGGGUUUAAUUAAAAUAAACGGGUCAAAACGCAA